rnacentral:rRNA from 1 species
GGACGGGUGAGGAAUACAUGGGAAUCUACCCUGUCGUGGGGGAUAACGUAGGGAAACUUACGCUAAUACCGCAUACGACCGAGAGGUGAAAGCGGCGGACCGCAAGGCGUCGCGCGACUGGAUGAGCCCAUGUCGGAUUAGCUUGUUGGCGGGGUAACGGCCCACCAAGGCGACGAUCCGUAGCUGGUCUGAGAGGAUGAUCAGCCACACUGGAACUGAGACACGGUCCAGACUCCUACGGGAGGCAGCAGUGGGGAAUAUUGGACAAUGGGCGCAAGCCUGAUCCAGCCAUGCCGCGUGUGUGAGGAAGGCCUUCGGGUUGUAAAGCACUUUUGUCCGGAAAGAAAAGCUUCGGGUUAAUACCCCGGGGUCCUGACGGUACCGGAAGAAUAAGCACCGGCUAACUUCGUGCCAGCAGCCGCGGUAGUACGAAGGGUGCAAGCGUUACUCGGAAUUACUGGGCGUAAAGCGUGCGUAGGUGGUUUGUUAAGUCUGAUGUGAAAGCCCUGGGCUCAACCUGGGAAUGGCAUUGGAUACUGGCGAGCUAGAGUGCGGUAGAGGGUAGUGGAAUUCCCGGUGUAGCAGUGAAAUGCGUAGAGAUCGGGAGGAACAUCUGUGGCGAAGGCGACUACCUGGACCAGCACUGACACUGAGGCACGAAAG